GAUGAACGCUGGCGGCGUGCCUAAUACAUGCAAGUCGAGCGAACAGACGAGGAGCUUGCUCCUCUGACGUUAGCGGCGGACGGGUGAGUAACACGUGGAUAACCUACCUAUAAGACUGGGAUAACUUCGGGAAACCGGAGCUAAUACCGGAUAAUAUAUUGAACCGCAUGGUUCAAUAGUGAAAGACGGUUUUGCUGUCACUUAUAGAUGGAUCCGCGCCGCAUUAGCUAGUUGGUAAGGUAACGGCUUACCAAGGCAACGAUGCGUAGCCGACCUGAGAGGGUGAUCGGCCACACUGGAACUGAGACACGGUCCAGACUCCUACGGGAGGCAGCAGUAGGGAAUCUUCCGCAAUGGGCGAAAGCUUGACGGAGCAACGCCUCGUGAGUGAUGAAGGUCUUCGGAUCGUAAAACUCUGUUAUUAGGGAAGAACAAAUGUGUAAGUAACUAUGCACGUCUUGACGGUACCUAAUCAGAAAGCCACGGCUAACUACGUG
rnacentral:rRNA from 1 species